CUUAGAAUGUCAUCCCUGUGUGCCGAUAAAGGUGAAAAUUCUUACACAUGUCAGUUGUACUCAUCUUUGCUUCUCUUUCUUAUGACCAGUACUGGGGGGCGCAUCUCCCAACCCAAGGGAGCUCCUGCCUGGAGCCUGCGUGUCCCCAAGGCCCUGAAAUUCCAUUGUCAGCAGGCAGCACCCCCUUCCCACGGCUCCACGGGAGGCUGAAGGCAGCUGAAGCCACAAGAACAAGCUGAGAGGAGAGGACCAAGAUCCGAGAGACAUGGCCCAGCCCCUAGAAGCCAGCUUCUGGCCCUGUGCCGCUGUAUUCUUCAGCCUCUUUGCUCCAGAAAGCUCCACGGAGAGCCACAGGACCAGGCGGGCCAGCAGACUGGCAGGUAGCAGCAAGGCGGGCCGCCUUCCCAGUCGCUACCUGCAUUUGACACUCCACGUACUUUACCUAGUGAAUGAAUGAGGUGGAGACUUCCAGAGACUGGAUUUCAAGGUUCAUUUGCUGCCUCAGCAGAGCCUAGGCUAUCCUGACUCAUACCAGGACUUUACCCAUUUAAACUUUUUUCCCUCUGAGUGCUGAGUAGGGCCGACCUAACACCUGAAUGAAGUA
rnacentral:lncRNA from 10 species